rnacentral:rRNA from 1 species
GACGAACGCUGGCGGCGUGCUUAACACAUGCAAGUCGAACGAUGAAGCCGGAGCUUGCUCUGGUGAAUUAGUGGCGAACGGGUGAGUAACACGUGAGUAACCUGCCCUUGACUCUGGGAUAACUGCGGGAAACUGUAGCUAAUACCGGAUACGACCCUCGGAGGCAUCUCCUGGGGGUGGAAAGAAUUUCGGUCAAGGAUGGACUCGCGGCCUAUCAGCUAGUUGGUGAGGUAAAGGCUCACCAAGGCGACGACGGGUAGCCGGCCUGAGAGGGUGAGCGGACACAAUGGGACUGAGACACGGCCCAGACUCCUCCGGGAGGCAGCAGUGGGGAAUAUUGAACAAUGGGAGCAAGCCUGAUGCAGAAACGCCGCGUGAGGGAUGACGGCCUUCGGGUUGUAAACCUCUUUUAGUAGGGAAGAAGCGAAAGUGACGGUACCUGCAGAAAAAGCACCGGCUAACUACGUGCCAGCAGCCGCCGUAA